UUCCGGUUGAUCCCGCCGGAGGUUACUGCUAUCGAGGUUCGACUAAGCCAUGCGAGUCGAAUGUCCGUAAGGACAUGGCGAACUGCUCAGUAACACGUGGACAACCUGCCCUUUGGACAGGGAUACCCCUGGGAAACUGGGACUAAUCCCUGAUAAGUCUCCGUAGCUGGAAUGCUCGGAGACGGAAAGCUCCGGCGCCACAGGAUGGGUCUGCGGCCUAUCAGGGUAGUAGUGGGUGUAGAGUACCUACUAGCCUACGACGGGUACGGGUUGUGAGAGCAAGAGCCCGGAGAUGGAUUCUGAGACACGAAUCCAGGCCCUACGGGGUGCAGCAGGCGCGAAAACUUUACAAUGCGGGACACCGCGAUAAGGGGACCUCGAGUGCUGGCAUACAAUGCUGGCUGUCCAGCUGCCUAAAUAGCAGUUGAUAGCAAGGGCCGGGCAAGACCGGUGCCAGCCGCCGCGGUAACACCGGCGGCUCGAGUGUGAUCCGCUAUUAUUUGG
rnacentral:rRNA from 1 species